rnacentral:rRNA from 1 species
UACAGAGGGUGCAAGCGUUGCUCGGAAUCAUUGGGCGUAAAGGGCAAGUAGGUGGUCUCAUUUGUCUCGUGUGAAAGCCUUGGGCUUAACCCAAGAAGUGCGCGAGAAACGGUGAGACUCGAGUUCUGGAGAGGGUCGUGGAAUUCCCGGUGUAGCGGUGAAAUGCGUAGAUAUCGUAAGGAAGACCGAGUGGCGAAGGCGGGUCUCUGGAGCAGUUCCUGACGCUGAGGCACGAAGGCCAGGGGAGCAAACGGG